rnacentral:rRNA from 1 species
UACGUAGGGUGCGAGCGUUGUUCGGAUUCACUGGGCGUAAAGGGUGCGUAGGUGGUCGGGUAAGUCUGAUGUGAAAUCUCCGAGCUCAACUCGGAAAUGGCAUUGGAUACUAUUCGGCUAGAGGGUUUGAGGGGGGACUGGAAUACUUGGUGUAGCAGUGAAAUGCGUAGAUAUCAAGUGGAACACCAGUGGCGAAGGCGAGUCCCUGGAAAACUCCUGACACUGAGGCACGAAAGCUAGGGGAGCGAAACAGG